rnacentral:ncRNA from 2 species
GAGAGCCGGAUGCGAUGAAAGUCGCACGUCCGGUUCGGAGGGGGGCUGACGGAAAAGUGCCAAUACAGCAACUCGUCGGCAGCCUACCCUAC